rnacentral:rRNA from 1 species
UGGAGAGUUUGAUCCUGGCUCAGGACGAACGCUGGCGGCGUGCCUAAUACAUGCAAGUAGAACGCUGAAGAGAGGAGCUUGCUCUUCUUGGAUGAGUUGCGAACGGGUGAGUAACGCGUAGGUAACCUGCCUGGUAGCGGGGGAUAACUAUUGGAAACGAUAGCUAAUACCGCAUAAAAUGGAUUAUYGCAUGAUAAUCNAUUGAAAGGUGCAAAUGCAYCACUACCAGAUGGACCUGCGUUGUAUUAGCUAGUUGGUGGGGUAACGGCUCACCAAGGCGACGAUACAUAGCCGACCUGAGAGGGUGAUCGGCCACACUGGGACUGAGACACGGCCCAGACUCCUACGGGAGGCAGCAGUAGGGAAUCUUCGGCAAUGGACGGAAGUCUGACCGAGCAACGCCGCGUGAGUGAAGAAGGUUUUCGGAUCGUAAAGCUCUGUUGUAAGAGAAGAACGAGUGUGAGAGUGGAAAGUUCACACUGUGACGGUAUCUUACCAGAAAGGGACGGCUAACUACGUGCCAGCAGCCGCGGUA